rnacentral:rRNA from 1 species
UACAGAGGGGGCAAGCGUUGUUCGGAAUUACUGGGCGUAAAGGGCGCGUAGGCGGCCGCCUAAGUCAGACGUGAAAUCCCUCGGCUCAACCGGGGAACUGCGUCUGAUACUGGGUGGCUUGAAUCCGGGAGAGGGAUGCGGAAUUCCAGGUGCAGCGGUGAAAUGCGUAGAUAUCUGGAGGAACACCGGUGGCGAAGGCGGCAUCCUGGACCGGCAUUGACGCUCAUGCACGAAAGCGUGGGGAGCAAACAGG